UACGGGAGGCAGCAGUGGGGAAUUUUGGACAAUGGGGGAAACCCUGAUCCAGCAAUGCCGCGUGAGUGAAGAAGGCCUUCGGGUUGUAAAGCUCUUUUGUCAGGGAAGAAACACCGGCUCUAACACAGUCCGGGAAUGACGGUACCUGAAGAAUAAGCACCGGCUAACUACGUGCCAGCAGCCGCGGUAAUACGUAGGGUGCGAGCGUUAAUCGGAAUUACUGGGCGUAAAGCGUGCGCAGGCGGUUAUACAAGACAGGCGUGAAAUCCCCGGGCUUAACCUGGGAAUGGCGCCUGUGACUGUAUAGCUAGAGUGUGUCAGAGGGGGGUAGAAUUCCACGUGUAGCAGUGAAAUGCGUAGAUAUGUGGAGGAAUACCAAUGGCGAAGGCAGCCCCCUGGGAUAACACUGACGCUCAUGCACGAAAGCGUGGGGAGCAAACAGGAUUAGAUACCCUGGUAGUCCACGCCCUAAACGAUGCUGACUAGUUGUUCGGGAUUUACAUCCUGAGUAACGUAGCUAACGCGUGAAGUCAGCCGCCUGGA
rnacentral:rRNA from 1 species